CCUACGGGGUGCUGCAGUGGGGAAUAUUGGACAAUGGGCGAAAGCCUGAUCCAGCCAUGCCGCGUGUGUGAAGAAGGCCUUCGGGUUGUAAAGCACUUUCAGUGGGGAAGAAAGCCUUGGGGCUAAUACCCUCGAGGAAGGACAUCACCCACAGAAGAAGCACCGGCUAACUCCGUGCCAGCAGCCGCGGUAAUACGGAGGGUGCGAGCGUUAAUCGGAAUUACUGGGCGUAAAGCGCGCGUAGGCGGUCUGAUAAGCCGGUUGUGAAAGCCCCGGGCUCAACCUGGGAACGGCAUCCGGAACUGUCAGGCUAGAGUGCAGGAGAGGAAGGUAGAAUUCCCAGUGUAGCGGUGAAAUGCGUAGAGAUCGGGAGGAAUACCAGUGGCGAAGGCGGCCUUCUGGACUGACACUGACGCUGAGGUGCGAAAGCGUGGGUAGCAAACAGGAUUAGAUACCCCAGUAGUC
rnacentral:rRNA from 1 species